AUACAGAGGGUGCAAACGUUGUUCGGCAUUACUGGGCAUAAAGCGCACGUAGGCGGUCAGGUAAGUGUGAAGUGAAAUCCCACGGCUCACCCGUGGAACUGCUUUGCAUACUGCUUGACUAGAGGAAGGUAGGGGAGAGCAGAACUCUUGGAGGAGCGGUGAAAUGCGUAGAUAUCAAGAGGAAUACCAGUGGCGAAGGCGGCUCUCUGGUCCUUUACUGACGCUGAGGUGUGAAAGCUAGGGUAGCGAACGGGAUUAGAAACCCCAGUAGUCC
rnacentral:rRNA from 1 species